UGCCUUGUGUGAGCUUGGUGAUCUCGUACUUGGUCUAGGAUAAGGUAAAGUGUUGAAAACUACCGAUAGUUUCCGAAUGCCGAUCUCACCCGACAAGCAUGGCUUCUGCGAUUGUAUCGUUCACCAAGAGUUUAUGGACUGACCCAUUCAGAUGGUCACUGGUGAAGAGUCUUCUUGUGUUCUGUGGUGCUGUGUAUGUUGCCCGGGAGGUAGCUGCAGUAGAGGCUGCUGAGGUGUUGCCAACCUCUUGAACAUGCUGAAGCAGAUUCUGUGACCUGACUGUAGUGAGAGACUGUAUCAAGAGAUAACAGCUACAUUGUGUGACAAUGUGAAUACAUGUGUGUGUAAUAUAUAUGGUGUACAUGUAGUAUAUAAACAUAUUACAACUUG